AUUGAACGCUGGCGGCAGGCCUAACACAUGCAAGUCGAGCGGAGCGGCGGACGGGUGCGGGAUGCCUAGGAAUCUGCCUGGUAGUGGGGGAUAACGGCCGGAAACGGGCGAUAAUACCGCAUACUAUCAGAUGAGCCUAGGUCGGAUUCGCAAGUUGGGGGGUUAAAGGCCUACAAAGGCGACGAUCCGUAACUGGUCUGAGGGGAUGAUCAGUCACACUGGAACUGAGAAACGGCCCAGACUCCUCGGGGAGGCAGCAGUGGGGAAUUUUGGAAAAUGGGCGAAAGCGUGUUGCGGCAAGGCCGCGUGUGUGAAGAAGGUCGUCGGAUUGUAAAGCACUUUAAGUUGGGAGGCGUUACCAACAGAAUAAGCACCGGCUAACUUCGUGCCAGCAGCCGCGGUAAUAC
rnacentral:rRNA from 1 species